ACGGCUCAGUAACACGUAGCUAACCUACCCUUAGGACGUUUACAACCCCGAGAAAAUGGGGCUAAUAACGAUAGAUGUGAUGUCCUGGAAUGGUAUCACGUCCAAAGGUAUCCCAUACAUGUNUGGUAUACGCCUAAGGAUGGGGCUGCGGCCGAUCAGGCAGUUGGUGAGGUAAUGGCUCACCAAACCUUUGACCGGUAUGGGCCAUGAGAGUGGUAGCCCAGAGAUGGACACUGAGACAAGGGUCCAGGCCCUACGGGGCGCAGCAGGCGCGAAACCUCCUCAAUGCACUAACGUGCGAAGGGGUUACCUCGAGUGCCACCUGAAGAAGGUGGCUUUUCCUUGGUCUAAAAAGCCUCGGGAAUAAGAGGGGGGCAAGACUGGUGUCAGCCGCCGCGGUAACACCAGCCCCUCGAGUGGUGGGGAUGAUUAUUUGGCCUAAAGCGUCCGUAGCCGGCCGGAUAAGUUUCCCGUUAAAUCUAACGUCUCAAGCGUUGGACUGCGGGAAAUACUGUCUGGCUAGAGAGUGGGAGAGGUGUACGGUAUUCUGGGGGUAGGGGCGAAAUCCUUUGAUCCCCGGAGGACCACCAGUGGCGAAGGCUGUACACUAGAACACGUCUGACGGUCAGGGACGAAAGCUGGGGUAGCGAACCGGAUUAGAUACCCGGGUAGUCCCAGCCGUAAACGAUGCAUGCUAGGUGUUGGGUUGGCCACGAGCCACCCCAGUGCCGCAGGGAAGCCGUUAAGCAUGCCGCCUGGGAAGUACGAUCGCAAGGUUGAAACUUAAAGGAAUUGGCGGGGGAGCACCACCAGGCGUGAAGCCUGCGGUUUAAUUGGAGUCAACGCCGGG
rnacentral:rRNA from 1 species